UGAAUACGAGACGCUAAGGCGUCGAAGUAGUGUAUGUCAUGCUUCCAAGAAAAGCUUGCACUGUCAUAGAUAAAAAACGCCUGUACCAUAACCGACACAGGUGGGUAGGUAGAGUAUACUAAGGGGCGCGAGAUUACUCUCGCUAAGGAACUCGGCAAAAUAACUCCGUAACUUCGGGAGAAGGAGUGCCUUAUUCGUAAGGUUGCAAUAACAAGAUCCAAGCAACUGUUUAUCAAAAACACAGGUCUCCGCUAAGUCGUAAGACGAUGUAUGGGGGCUGACGCCUGCCCAGUGCCAGAAGGUUAAAGAAGUCGGUUAGCAAUUGCGAAGCUGGUAACUGAAGCCCUGGUGAACGGCGGCCGUAACAAUAACGGUCCUAAGGUAGCGAAAUUCCUUGUCGGGUAAGUUCCGACCCGCACGAAAGGCGUAAUGAUUUGGAUACUGUCUCGGAGAGGGGCUCGGUGAAAUAGACUUGUCUGUGAAGAUGCGGACUACCUGCACCAGGACAGAAAGACCCUAUGAAGCUUUACUGUAACUUGAAAUUGAAAUUGGACUUUAUUCGCGCAGUAUAGGUGGGAGGCGUUGAUUAUAAUCUUGCGGGAUUAUUGGAGCCAUCAGUGAGAUACCACCCUUGUAAUGUUAGAUUUCUAACUUUGAAUCAUUAUCUGGUCAAAGAACAGUUUCAGGCGGGCAGUUUGACUGGGGCGGUCGCCUCCUAAACGGUAACGGAGGCGUACAAAGGUUUCCUCUGAACGGUUAGAAAUCGUAUCUAGAGUGUAAAGGCAUAAGGAAGCUUGACUGUGAGACCUACAAGUCGAGCAGGGACGAAAGUCGGUCUUAGUGAUCUGACGGUACUGAGUGGAAAGGCCGUCACUCAACGGAUAAAAGUUACUCUAAGGAUAACAGGCUGAUCUCCCCCAAGAGUUCACAUCGACGGGGAGGUUUGGCACCUCGAUGUCGGCUCAUCGCAUCCUGGGGCGGUAGUACGUCCCAAGGGUUGGGCUGUUCGCCCAUGAAAGCGGUACGCGAGCUGGGUUCAGAACGUCGUGAGACAGUUCGGUCCAUAUCCGGUGUAGGCGUUAGAAUAUUGAGAGGAGCCUUCUUUAGUACGAGAGGACCGAGAAGGACAUACCUCUGGUGUACCAGUUAUCGUGCCAACGGUAAACGCUGGGUAGCUAUGUAUGGAGUGGAUAACCGCUGAAAGCAUCUAAGUGGGAAGCCCACCUCAAGAUAAGUAUUCUCC
rnacentral:rRNA from 1 species